AUACGGAGGGUGCGAGCGUUAAUCGGAAUUACUGGGCGUAAAGCGUGCGUAGGCGGCAUGGUCAGUCGGAUGUGAAAGCCCUGGGCUCAACCUGGGAAUUGCAUUCGAUACUGCUUGACUAGAGUAUGGUAGAGGGAAGUGGAAUUUCCGGUGUAGCGGUGAAAUGCGUAGAUAUCGGAAGGAACACCAGUGGCGAAGGCGACUUCCUGGGCCAAUACUGACGCUGAGGUGCGAAAGCGUGGGGAGCAAACAGGAUUAGAAACCCUGGUAGUCC
rnacentral:rRNA from 1 species